CUGGAUAGAUGCCAUAUUAAAUUAAAUUAAACAUAAAAUUUUGAAGACCGAUAUUGAAGGCGCGACUAGACAACUAUUAAGAGUGUCAGUGUCGUGAAUUGUAUUAUUAUGAUGGAUUUAAAGGAACAUGUAAUGUUAUUACCGAACCCAAUGUGUGGCAAACAACAAGGAAGUGUGAAAGGAAAAGAAGAAAACAAAAGAAAAAGAAAGCCGAACGGAAAUCUUAACGCCGAGAAAUGCAUUAAGCGAAUGCGUUGCCAAGUAAUGGAAUUCAGAUUGCAAAUUGCAAAACUUCAGCGCCAAUUAAUGAAAGUGCAGCAAAGUAAAAUUUUCACACGGAUACUGGCCGGCGAGGAAGAGCGAAAACUUUAACGCUGCAUUUUUAUGAAAAAAAUGGCAGAAACAUGCAGUUAUGCAUUUGAAGCCGCAAAACAAAAACAAAAACAAAAGCAAACCAAGUAAGUCAGAAGAUAUUAUGAAAUUUCCACAAGCAAGGGCCGAGAUGACUCACAAUAUGAAGAGCACGAUAGCAAAAAUAACAAAAGCGACAACAACAAAAUUAAGUCAUAAUCAAGAAAUUCUGCGUAAAGUAACAAACAAAGUAUGUAAGUUGUAAUUUCAAUAUGAACACAAGUUGCGCAAAUGCCAACAGGUCUUGACAGCAGAGGCUGACCGGUGAUGCGAAGGCAAUGUGGUUAACAGCAAGCCAGGGCGAGUUUUAAUUAGUUUUGUUUGCAGCUGCAGAGAAGCGGCGGCCAAUCUUGGAGCAUUUCGAAAAUAAAUGCGAAAUAAAAUAAAUCGGAAUUAAUUUACAAAUAAAACAAAAAACAGUUGCUUUAAUCAAAAAUUGGUGGAAAAAUAUCGUGUAUCCCAAAAGGUAACCGGAAUGAGAUGAACGUCCUCUACAUUUCUUCAUAAUGACGAAACUCUUCAAACCGACAAUUGCAUGAUUUUGGUUCCUCGCACACCAACCAGAUCAAUUCAACAAAUGCCGUGAAUGCCGUCAAACUGACGUGACAGGACAAAAAUGAUGGGAUCAAAAAUGCAAUUGAUAAUAAUAUUUUGAUUGUGACGCCCCUAACAGGAUUCUGUUACCUCUGUUGAACUAAUAUUAUUAUAACGGGUAAUCCAAGUAGAUGUACUUUUUUCAAAAGCCUUUUCUUG
rnacentral:lncRNA from 1 species